AGACUGGCUUUGGUGGUGGAUCCUCGUGGCUGUGGUGGUUUUUAUAGUUCUGUUAGUGGUCGUUGUGAAAGUCAUCAGACAGAAAGGAAACAGAACGCAGAUGGGUGACGAUGUUGCUGAUCCUGAAGGCGGGGUUUCCUACGCCUCCAUCAGAUACAACAAGAAGGGGAAAAGAGGAGCUCGGGUUUGUGCUAAAGACGAUGCUGACGAUGGUUCAGUGAUCUAUGCCUCCGUCAAAGUUUCUUCUUCUUCUUCUACUGCUGCAGGAGCCUCUGCUGAUCCCAGCAUCCUCUACGCCACCAUCAACAAAGAGAAGAAAUAAGAAUCCAAAGUAAAGUCACAGCUCAAGUUUUUUCAGCAUUCUACACUGAAAACUACGGAGCCCCACAAGGCUCAGGUAGGACAAAAUAAAAAGCAAUUUGUAAAUCCUUUGUUCACAGUUUACAAAUCUGUGCGCACAGUUUAUAAACAGUGCCCAUGGAUUUGUAAACCGUGUGCACGGAUUUGCAAUCUGCAGGCUCACUUUCAGUUUAGGAAACCGUGCGCACUCUGUUUUGAAAUCUGUGUGCACCAUUUAGGAAUCUGUGCCCACAGAUUGUAAAUCAGUGUGCAUGGAUUUGCCGAAAUGAUCGACAGCUUUUUAUUUUUUGUCUCACCUGAGCUUUGCAGGGCUCAGUAGAAAACAGAUACUGAUAGAUGUGUUUGUAUAAGACUUUGUGUUGUUAACUUUCAAGAGUUAUUGCUUUAAGAUGCUUUUUUUCUCCAACAAAUGGCGAUGUAAGGUUAGCACAAACACCUAGCAUUAAACCUCUGCAUGAAAUUUAAAUUUACGGAGACUCUGAAGUCCCAAAAAGUACAAAAACUGAAAUCUUGUGUGAACAUGAUAAUUAUAUAAAGGACUGGUAUUCAGAAAAUCCUUUGACUACAUGCUAGUGUGUGUGAGCGCUGACUGUUUCUUCUCUUAAUCCUUGCACACAGGAUAUUCACUUGUGAGCACAACAUAGCAUCUUGUGCACAAGUUAGGCCGUGUUCACACUUGACUUCUGCGCUGCCUUCAGUGCCUUUUGAGCGCUUUUGCGCAAGUGUUCUGUAACCAUAACAACGGGAUCUAGUCUGCGGUGCAACCGUGCCGGAGCACAACGCAUCAAUUUAGCACAGAAAAGAACAAACAGGACGGGAAG